rnacentral:rRNA from 1 species
CCCUAUUAUUUUAAUAAGUUUAAUAGUUAGUAUAAUUUGAAAUUUAAUAAUUUUGGCGGUUAUUUAUUUAUUAGAGGAGCUUGUAUUAUUAAUAAGAAUUUAUUCUUUAUAUUUAAUUUAAUUUUUGUUUAUACAUCUCCGUUAUUAAAUUAAAUAGUUAUAAAAAAAAUAUUUUUGAAUUUCAGGUCAAGAUGUAGCAUAUUUAAAAAUAAGUAUUAGCUACAUUUAUAAAAUAGAUGGAAUUUAGAAUAAGUAUUAUAGAAAGAAAUUGAAUUUAAUUGUAAUAUUAAUUAAAAAGUUAUUAUGAAAUUUAAUAUAUUUAAUGUA